CACAAGCGGUGGAUGAUGUGGUUAAUUCGAUGCAACGCGAAAACCUUACCCACCUUUGACAUGGCAGGAAUCCUAAGAGAUUUGGGAGUGCUCGAAAGAGAACCUGCACACAGGUGCUGCAUGGCUGUCGUCAGCUCGUGUCGUGAGAUGUUGGGUUAAGUCCCGCAACGAGCGCAACCCUUGCCAUUAGUUGCUACGAAAGGGCACUCUAAUGGGACUGCCGGUGACAAACCGGAGGAAGGUGGGGAUGACGUCAAGUCCUCAUGGCCCUUAUAGGUGGGGCUACACACGUCAUACAAUGGCCGGUACAGAGGGUAGCCAACCCGCGAGGGGGAGCCAAUCCCACAAAGCCGGUCGUAGUCCGGAUCGCAGUCUGCAACUCGACUGCGUGAAGUCGGAAUCGCUAGUAAUCGCGGAUCAGCAUGUCGCGGUGAAUACGUUCCCGGGUCUU
rnacentral:rRNA from 1 species